GACGAACGCUGGCGGCGUGCCUAAUACAUGCAAGUAGGACGCAGUUGCGAACGGGUGAGUAACGCGUAGGUAACUACCUAUUAGAGGGGGAUAACUAUUGGAAACGAUAGCUAAUAACGCAUACUAGUAGAUGGACCUGCGUUGUAUUAGGUAGUAGGUAGGGUAAUGGCCUACCUAGGCAAAGAUACAUAGCCGACCUGGGAGGGUGAUCGGCCAAACUGGGACUGGGACACGGCCCAGACUCCUACGGGAGGCAGGCGUAGGGAAUCUUCGGCAAUUGGGUGAACCCUGACCGAGCAACGCCGCGUGAGUGAAGAAGGUCUUCGGAUCGUUAAGCUCUGUUGUUAAGGAAGCGGUACUUAACCAGAAAGGGACGGCUAACUACGUGCCAGCAGCCGCGGUAAUAC
rnacentral:rRNA from 1 species